rnacentral:rRNA from 1 species
UACCCAAUCCUGACACAGGGAGGUAGUGACAAGAAAUAACAAUACGGGGCUUAAAGUCUUGUAAUUGGAAUGAUGGGAAUUUAAACCUCUUCCAGAGUAUCAAUUGGAGGGCAAGUCUGGUGCCAGCAGCCGCGGUAAUUCCAGCUCCAAUAGCGUAUAUUAAAAUUGUUGCAGUUAAAAAGCUCGUAGUUGAAUUUCUGCUGCAUUGCUUGUGUCCCUCUGGGGUCUGUGCAUGUGGCUUUUUUCGGACGGAGUUUCUUUGUCUGAAUGUUUACUUUGAGAAAAUUAGAGUGCUCAAAGCAGGCUUUCGCCUUGAAUAGUUUAGCAUGGAAUAAUAAAGUAGGACUUUGGUUCUAUUUUGUUGGUUUUAGGUACCAAAGUAAUGGUUAAUAGGAACAGUUGGGGGCAUUCGUAUUUAA